UACGUAGGGACCAAGCGUUGUUCGGAAUUAUUGGGCGUAAAGAGCUCGUAGGCGGUCUGUCGCGUCUGCUGUGAAAACUCGGGGCUUAACCCCGGGCCUGCAGUGGGUACGGGCAGACUAGAGUGAUGUAGGGGAGACUGGAAUUCCUGGUGUAGCGGUGAAAUGCGCAGAUAUCAGGAGGAACACCGAUGGCGAAGGCAGGUCUCUGGGCAUUAACUGACGCUGAGGAGCGAAAGCAUGGGGAGCGAACAGG
rnacentral:rRNA from 1 species